rnacentral:rRNA from 1 species
GUGAGGAAUAUUGGUCAAUGGGCGGGAGCCUGAACCAGCCAAGUCGCGUGAAGGAAGAAGGAUCUAUGGUUCGUAAACUUCUUUUGCAGGGGAAUAAAGUGCAGGACGUGUCCUGUUUUGUAUGUACCCUGAGAAUAAGGAUCGGCUAACUCCGUGCCAGCAGCCGCUGUAAUACGGAGGAUCCGAGCGUUAUCCGGAUUUAUUGGGUUUAAAGGGUGCGUAGGUGGUUUGAUAAGUCAGCGGUGAAAGUUUGCAGCUUAACUGUAAAAAUGCCGUUGAAACUGUCGGACUUGAGUGUAAAUGAGGUAGGCGGAAUGCGUGGUGUAGCGGUGAAAUGCAUAGAUAUCACGCAGAACUCCGAUUGCGAAGGCAGCUUACUAAGCUACAACUGACACUGAAGCACGAAAGCGUGGGGAUCAAACAGGAUUAGAUACCCGGGUAGUCC